CUCUGAAAUAGUUGUUAUAUAUGUAUAGUCCUGUAUUGGUAUGCGAUCGUUCAAAUGGGCUGGAGGGUCUUGGUGAGGAACUUGCAGUGGACGCGGUAUUGGUUUCUUCCACGUCCAUCAUCAUUCAUACCGACAAUGACGGAUCAAUGCGAACGUUGGAAAUUAACAGAGUAUUAUGUUAACGAGAUCAACGAGAUUGGAAUCAGAAGGGAUAUCGUACGGAAGGUGAGAAUUUUUGUCGAGCCCGCCAGUCUCUGAACGUCUGAUCUCACGGGGGCAGAAACCAUAAAGUCGGGGAACUUGACAAAGGGGUUGGGGGUUGGUUUCAUGCGCCCGUCCACGAGCGCGGACUUACGGAAAACAACUGACAAACGAUGUUACCCCCACCGUGA
rnacentral:misc_RNA from 1 species